rnacentral:misc_RNA from 1 species
AAUCUGACUACGUCUGACGCCGACAUUGACGCCGCAUGAUCCAUCUGAUCCGAAAAAGGAAAGAACGGAAACGGAAAGAAUAACACUAGUCAAAAGGUCGACGUCUUCGAGGUCACUGUUAUUAUUUCCUGGUUAAUCGUAAAUGUUAUAAAAGCUGGCGUUUAUCAAUGUAAACUAAUGUGAACCAGCGGUAGCGAUUCGUAUUUUUGAGCAAUUUUGCAUCAAUGUACUGGAGUGGGCUUAUGUUCUGGAAUAGAAAGAUAAUCGGUGUGGGACGGGAAGAAAUGCCACUAAGCUCCAUAAGUCAUGUUGCAAAUACUCCCACUGACACAGCAGAAAGUGUGAAUCCUGGCACGAGUGCACAAAUAACAUCAACCUGCUGCACUCCACCACCAUCCUAUCAUAAUAUUAAUUUACCUCUUGGGCAUCCUUCUACGUUGACUAAUGAACGUGGUGCACCACCCUCAUACGAAGAAGCAAUAGAUCCUAAUGCACCACCACCGUCUUAUGAUUCAUUGUUUGGUCGUAUGAGAGAAGCUCGUAAAAUAUCCAAAGGCAUAUUUGACUUUUUAAAAAAUAUUAUCUUUUUGCUUUUGGGCACAAUUGGGUGUACCAUCAUUAUUGGAGUGACGAUAGUGGUACCGAUUUGUAUGAUGGUGAUUGGUGGACUAUACCUUUACGAUUGUCCACAGGGUGAAUACAUUCCUGUAUAUUUGUUAGUAGGCGGUGGAUUUGGAGUAUUUAAACAAUUGUUAACUCUGUCAACUAGAGUGCGACAGCGACAAGAGGAAAGAGAUGAAGAAAGAAUUAGGCAGUCGCCUACGCAGACUUUAAUCAAUUGUUUUAUGCUCGGAUGGUUUAUUAUUGGUUCAAUGUGGGUGUACAAGGAAUAUGAACCAAAUUAUGACCCAGCGCAAGGAAAAUAUUGCAACAAGACGUUAUACCUAUUCGCUUUUUGGCUAAUCACAUCAGUCUACAUGUGUCUAGGUGUCAUAAUGGCUGGCCUGUGCAGCAUAUCCAUAGUUAGCAUCGCGUUUCAGAGACCACCGCCGGAUCUGAUGUGAGACACUAUAGCUUAGCUGCUUCAUAUGCGCGUCUCCGAAACAACAAACAUCUAAGAUCUUCCGCAUUUGACAUAGUCAGGACUGUAUUGUCGACGUAAUCCGAUCAAAGAUUUAGAUAUGAGAAGCUCCAAUUUGUAUAGGAAUGCGGCUACAAACGCCGUAAGUGGAAAAGAAAUCUCAUUUUGGGAGCAAACCGAUAAAAAUCAUUCGCCGAGAGUGGCGCGACAUCGUUUACCGAAAACGAGUCGCUUCGCGAUGGGGAGCAAAAAUUUCGUCCACGUUUUACGUACCUGAGAUGCUUAAACGACCACUUCGAAAGAAAUCGUUGGCACGUUAAAAAACGCACAUAAAAUACUCGCGUGCAAUACAAAUCUCAAACAAGAUCGUUUUAAACGACUUUUCAUCACGUGUAAUAAGCGCAAUUAUCCGCAUAGUUACUCGAUAAUUCGACUUUGUCGGACGAUUUGCGACCAAAUAAAAUCGAAGAAAAGUACGAUACAUCGAAGUCAGUUGUCUCUAUUGACAGCCUCUUGAUAAAAAGAAUGAAUGAGAAGCGAAGAUAAGCGUCGCUUCGACGGAAUUAAAGGCUGUGCGUACAUCGCGUUACUCGCGAAUAUUCAAUGUUGUGCCAAGUGGACGUGAAGUCGCAGACCAAGGUAUUUCGCUAUCACAGUGUUGCACGCGCCAGCGCUGGUGCGCGAUACAAUUACUAUAAUACGCCGCAAAACUCGUUCGGAAUUCACUCAGAGUGGACCACGGCGGAUGCGCGACUUGCACUACGCUUACACAGCGGCGCUGACGCUUUGAUACGACGGUCUAACAAUACAUCUGCGAUAUAGAUGUUAGUCAUCACAUCAAUGCUCGUUCUCAAUAUACUUCUUAUCUAUGUUAAGCACGUUAUGGACUUUACAGAUUUGAUAACAAAUUCGGUUGAAUGCACUAAUAUAUACAUUGGAUGCAAGUUAAAGUGUCGCAUACAAAUUGUUGUAUUGUAGAAGCAUACAUAAAUAUAACAUUAAUUUAUUUGGAUUAUUCUUAUAUAUGUUAAAUUUUGUUUAAUAUCUCAAAGUAUUAUGUUAUAUAUUUAUAUUUAACAUUGUAUUAUAUAUUUUUAUAAUAUUAGAUAAAUUGAAAUGUACAACAGACUUUAAUCAGCGCACAUUAAUGUACACAACCGAAUUUGCUAUAAUACAAUCAAGUACGCGCACUCAGCUUACUCGUGACUCGUAACUUAUUGUUAAAAGACUGCGAUCUUGCUCGACAAUUUCUAUUUAUUCGCCCUCUCCUCCGUCCUUUUAUGCCUCUAUAGAUCUUCGUUGGAUGUUUAUGUCCUCGAUAUGUACACGAUUUGUUUUCUCAUAGAGAAAAAGUCACGCGAAGCGAUCGAACAGAAUAAACGUAUAAUAUACACGUUUUUUUCGAAGUGUCUAUCUUAAGAAAUUAAAAACGACAGUAUUUGUUAGUAUUGUAGGAGCUUGCUGUUUUACGGAAAGAUCAGCACGCUCCGUCGUGUCGUGCGUGUGAUGUCGUGACGACAUACACGCCUAGCUAAUUUGUGAUUCGAUUAAACAAUUGUAUUACCAAGUGUAUUAUGAAAAAUAUCGCUCUGUACAUACUUAAACACUACCGUUCCUUCUACUUUCAUAUGACUAUUGACUUUUCCGACUGAAAUUUAGUCUUCCUCCCUUCUUACAUUAAACAUAAUUCCCAAACAUAAAACUAAGCAUAAGCGUUGGCAUAAUUGUAAACGUAGAUAUACCGAUAAGCAGGCACAGGUAUAAUUGUGCCUGCGUCACAACUGACAUACAUGCUUAUGCUCAUUAUGAUUAAUAACCGAGCUUGUGCUUGAAAUUUUACAUAAACAUAUUAAGAGAUAUGUAUAUAUAUAUACUGAUCGUGUACAUUAACAUUGCAGCGUAUAACAUUAUACCGAAUACAGAUUGUAAAUAAUGUACGACUUGAAUGUAGAGUUAUCGAUCCGACAAACACGUAUCUUGCAUUUACUAUAUUAUUAUAACAUAACGAGAUAUUAAUUUCUGACAAUGUAACAGCAUUCCUACGUUUUGCAUAGCAAAAACGUACGCACAUUCGUUGUCAUAAUUUCUUAAAUAAAGCGCUUAAAAUCACGCAA